rnacentral:rRNA from 1 species
GACGAACGCUGGCGGCGUGCUUAACACAUGCAAGUCGAACGGAAAGUCCCUUCUUUUUUUGUUUUCUCUUUUUGCUAUCUUGUGUGUAACACGUUAGUAACCUUCCCUUGACUUUUGUAUAACUUCAGGUAACUUUUUCUAUUACCUGAUCGGUUCUCCUGCUUCUUUGUUGUUGUUGGUUCUUUUCGGCGGUUGGGGAUGGACUCGCGGCUUAUCAGCUUGUUGGUGGGGUAGUGGCUUACCAAGGCUUUGACGGGUAUCAGGCCUGAGAGGGUGACCGGCAAAAUUGGGAAUGAGAUACGGCCCAGAGUGCAACGGGAGGCAGCAGUGGGGAAUAUUGCACAAUGGGAGGAAGCAUGAUGAAGAAACGCAGCGUGCGGGAUGAAGGCCAUCGGGUUGAAAAAAGAAUUAGAAUGUGACGAAGAGAGAGUGACGGUAAUGGGUAAAGAAGCACCGGCUAACUACGUG